GAGACCGGCGCGCGGGUGCGUAACGCGUAUGCAAUCUACCUUGUACAGAGGGAUAGCCCAGAGAAAUUUGGAUUAAUACCUCAUAGCAUUAUUGAAUGGCAUCAUUUAAUAAUUAAAGUUCCAACGGUACAAGAUGAGCAUGCGUCCUAUUAGCUAGUUGGUGUGGUAACGGCAUACCAAGGCUACGAUAGGUAGGGGUCCUGAGAGGGAGAUCCCCCACGCUGGUACUGAGACACGGACCAGACUCCUACGGGAGGCAGCAGUGAGGAAUAUUGGACAAUGGGCGCAAGCCUGAUCCAGCCAUGCCGCGUGCAGGAAGACGCAUCUAUGGUGUGUAAACUGCUUUUGUACGGGAAGAAACACUCCCUCGUGAGGGAGCUUGACGGUACCGUAAGAAUAAGGAUCGGCUAACUCCGUGCCAGCAGCCGCGGUAAUACGGAGGAUCCAAGCGUUAUCCGGAAUCAUUGGGUUUAAAGGGUCCGUAGGCGGUUUAAUAAGUCAGUGGUGAAAGCCCAUCGCUCAACGAUGGAACGGCCAUUGACACUGUUAGACUUGAAUUAUUGUGAAGUAACUAGAAUAUGUAGUGUAGCGGUGAAAUGCUUAGAUAUUACAUGGAAUACCAAUUGCGAAGGCAGGUUACUAACAAUAUAUUGACGCUGAUGGACGA
rnacentral:rRNA from 1 species